GUUACAACAUUCUUGCAUUUUUUACCUCAGGGUCCUAGAACCAUCUUUCAUUAUUUUAAUUGGAGAACAAUAUUUGGCAACAAACAUCUGGGCACUAGUGGUCUUCUAAGUGGACAGAACUAUGAAAUACAUAUAUAUACACCAACCCGUUAUUCACACAGGAGAAGUCAAUUAGUGGUCCUGAUGGGGUUGAAGAAUUGCUGCAGAAGUAGUACCAGACAUGAAAAGAGAAGCCUGCAUGAGACAAUAGGAGACUUGAGGAAGCUAUUUGGGGGUAAUUCAAAUAAUUUGUCAUUGGAAGUCUAGAAAAAGAAAGUGGAGAAGAAGGUGAAGGAAAUGAUCAUUUGAAGUGAGCAACUGAAACAACUGAGAAGCCAAGAUUGAUGUUGGAAGUCAUCAAAGAUGUUGAAAGUUUUAAGGAAGAAGAGAAAAGAAAUGGCAGAGAAGUCAUAACGAAAAGCAGCAAAGGAGAGAAGCAUUCACGUGCAAUGGCUGCACAGUGUUAAGCUCACUCGAUCACUUGAAAGCUCCAGUCUGUGACACUCACCCUCAAACCUGGUCUCAGGCACCCUUGUGAGAAGUAUGUGAGGAAUCCCAGGAACCAUCGCACCCACUGACUUCCUGCCAAAAGUUUCCUAAUGUGAUGCAUCCUUGUGACCUGUUCUUGCCUUGCCUACAGACAUGUGGAACACCAAACCUACGUACUUCCUGUGCUGGGGGAGGAGCAAGAAAGGCUGCUGAGAGCUGCUGGGUACUGGAGGAGAAGAGAAAGCACCAGGGUUUCUGCACAGGAAAGGGGUGAUUCUGCAGCACUGUGACCAAACCACUGGCACAAAGAUACACAGCCGAGUCCCUGGGUUCUGAGGGCUGGAUCUUCAGAGUGGCUAAAGAUGCAUCAGGCAUCUCUGCUGAGAAUCGAUCCUUGGGCAUUCCUGAAUCAUCUAGAGAAGCCUUGUUGCGCCUCAUCUUCUUCCAGGAGACACACUGGAUUAUGCCUCAUAUGUGGAUAUGCUGGUGGCAUCACUGUGAUUGUCAACUCCCUAGGGAGAGAGUCCCUCUGCUGUGGUCCUGGAUAGCACCUCCAUUUCUUGCUAUUCUACUCUCUACAGAGCAGGCUAGCCCUGCAUGGAAGAGAAAGUUCACUACUGAUCUUAGCACACGUUGAAAACGCACCAAAGAAUCUACGUUUUCUCUAGGGAACCAGGAGAAAAUGGGAAAUAAGGAGAGACUAAAAUGAAGAGAACAAAUACUAUAACUGAUUUCCCUUCCAUAGAGAAGAUUUGGCAAGGAAUGGGAAGUUUAAAAGAGGAUUAUUAUUUUCGGGGUGCCCCACAAAAUGGGGUAUGUGGGACAAACUUGUCCCAGGAGACUGGCUUUAAAUGGGGUAAAACAAUAGUAACAUAUCAGUUACUCCCUCCAAUUUUGACCACUGCCCCUCGGGAAUACUCAUAAAACAGCACAAAUGUUCCCUCAGAGUGCAGUAAUUAAAUUAAUUUGAAGCCCAAUCUGUACUAUCUAACCUAAUCUCAGCAUUCUCUUGAUUGUGUUUCUCAUCUUGCCAUAUGGUCCAAUGGAACGCAGAGGUUAUGUGAUAGAAAUAAAUAACAGUAUAAGAAUACUCUAGUAAUAACAUGCCCCAAACAAA